UUACCAUCAUUGAGUUGGGGACUCUAGCGAGACUGCCAGUGAUAAACUGGAGGAAGGUGGGGAUGACGUCAAAUCAUCAUGCCCCUUAUGACCUGGGCUACAAACGUGAUACAAUGGCUGAAACAAAGGGCAGCGAAGCAGUGAUGUGGAGCGAAACCCAAAAAGCAGUCUCAGUUCGGAUUGAAGUCUGCAACUCGACUUCAUGAAGUCGGAAUCGCUAGUAAUCGCGGAUCAGAACGCCGCGGUGAAUACGUUCUCGGGGUUU
rnacentral:rRNA from 1 species